GAAGAGAAAGGCUGAUUCCGAACAAGUACUCUUCGUUCUUCCAAAGAGAAAGGCCGAUUCAGGCGAAAGCAUUGGCGAUUGGGAACGCCUCUUGACUGAAACUCUUCACAAUCUUCAGAGGCCCGAUCUUGGCCCCGAGCAACUUCUAAGGAUGCAGAGAAAGCUCAAUUUCAUCAGAGAACGCAUCGAGUCAAGGUUGCAUGCUAUUUCGGAUCCAAUCAACUGCUGUUGAUUUUCUUUCAAGAUUGUUCUAGAGUUCCAAAUUUUGGGAGAUGAAUAUUCCUUCAAUUAUUUUGUUUGACCGUCGGUGACUGAACGCAUCGAUUUAAAAUUUCACGCCCUUUCAACACUGUUGAUUGGUUCCGUUGAUUUACAAGAUUAUUGCACUCCCUUUUGGUUACAAGAUAUUCCUUCGAUUCAAUAUUUUGACGAUCGGUGACUGCUGGAACCUGAAUUUCGGCCUCUCAUAUCUGAAGGUGUACAAACAUUGAUAAGGUUGGUGCAAAGAGCUAUUACGGUCAAAAGGUGAUCCUAGGAUGAACGAGGAUUUGCAUAAUGAUUCGGGACCAGGAGGUUCCUGAUGUAAUUAUAAGACUCCCCAGCCUAAUGAAUUUGGAGGUGACACAUCCAGUUCACAUGCUAAGACAUGGGAGCAAAAAGAAGAUUGCACCAUGGAAAAAUCUUAUGUUGUGAUACUUCCAUUGAGCAUCUUAAUCCACAUUCAAGAUGUUUUACAGCACGAUAUGAAUGUUUGCAGUUGAUUCAAGGAUAUAUCCAAUUGUGUACAAGCUUGAAAGCAUCCUUUAGAAUUUGGUGAUGGAAAAUGGCGAUUUAUCUUGCUGUGUUCGAGCAAUGGGAUCAGAAUUGGUUCUCUGUUUGGUUGGAAAUACCAAAGGAGAACAGUCUAAAAGGCGUUUCAGAACCAGAUUGAAGAAUGCAAGUCUUCAAAUUGGAAGAAAAAUGUGGUACAGAGUUGAAUUUUAUUGCUCUGUAAACAAUCCUGAAU